rnacentral:tRNA from 1 species
GGAUUGGUAGCUCAGUGGUAGAGCAUUCGACUGCAGUUCGAAUGGUCAUGGGUUCAAUUCCCAUUCGAUCCU